GAGCUCGCUUCAGCAGCACAGAUACUAAAAUUGGAACAAUACAGGGAAGAUUAGCACGGCCCCUGCACAGGGAUGACAAGCAAAUUUGUAAAGCGUUCCAUAUUUUU
rnacentral:snRNA from 1 species